AAAUUGAAGAGUUUGAUCAUGGCUCAGAUUGAACGCUGGCGGCAGGCCUAACACAUGCAAGUCGAACGGUAACAGGAAGCAGCUUGCUGCUUUGCUGACGAGUGGCGGACGGGUGAGUAAUGUCUGGGAAACUGCCUGAUGGAGGGGGAUAACUACUGGAAACGGUGGCUAAUACCGCAUAACGUCGCAAGACCAAAGAGGGGGACCUUCGGGCCUCUUGCCAUCAGAUGUGCCCAGAUGGGAUUAGCUAGUUGGUGAGGUAACGGCUCACCAAGGCGACGAUCCCUAGCUGGUCUGAGAGGAUGACCAGCCACACUGGAACUGAGACACGGUCCAGACUCCUACGGGAGGCAGCAGUGGGGAAUAUUGCACAAUGGGCGCAAGCCUGAUGCAGCCAUGCCGCGUGUAUGAAGAAGGCCUUCGGGUUGUAAAGUACUUUCAGCGGGGAGGAAGGUGUUGUGGUUAAUAACCACAGCAAUUGACGUUACCCGCAGAAGAAGCACCGGCUAACUCCGUGCCAGCAGCCGCGGUAAUACGGAGGGUGCAAGCGUUAAUCGGAAUUACUGGGCGUAAAGCGCACGCAGGCGGUCUGUCAAGUCGGAUGUGAAAUCCCCGGGCUCAACCUGGGAACUGCAUUCGAAACUGGCAGGCUUGAGUCUUGUAGAGGGGGGUAGAAUUCCAGGUGUAGCGGUGAAAUGCGUAGAGAUCUGGAGGAAUACCGGUGGCGAAGGCGGCCCCCUGGACAAAGACUGACGCUCAGGUGCGAAAGCGUGGGGAGCAAACAGGAUUAGAUACCCUGGUAGUCCACGCCGUAAACGAUGUCUACUUGGAGGUUGUGCCCUUGAGGCGUGGCUUCCGGAGCUAACGCGUUAAGUAGACCGCCUGGGGAGUACGGCCGCAAGGUUAAAACUCAAAUGAAUUGACGGGGGCCCGCACAAGCGGUGGAGCAUGUGGUUUAAUUCGAUGCAACGCGA
rnacentral:rRNA from 1 species